GACGAACGCUGGCGGCGUGCUUAACACAUGCAAGUCGAACGGAAAGGCCCUGCUUUUGUGGGGUGCUCGAGUGGCGAACGGGUGAGUAACACGUGAGUAACCUGCCCUUGACUUUGGGAUAACUUCAGGAAACUGGGGCUAAUACCGGAUAGGAGCUCCUGCUGCAUGGUGGGGGUUGGAAAGUUUCGGCGGUUGGGGAUGGACUCGCGGCUUAUCAGCUUGUUGGUGGGGUAGUGGCUUACCAAGGCUUUGACGGGUAGCCGGCCUGAGAGGGUGACCGGCCACAUUGGGACUGAGAUACGGCCCAGACUCCUACGGGAGGCAGCAGUGGGGAAUAUUGCACAAUGGGCGGAAGCCCGAUGCAGCAACGCCGCGUGCGGGAUGACGGCCUUCGGGUUGUAAACCGCUUUCGCCUGUGACGAAGCGUGAGUGACGGUAAUGGGUAAAGAAGCACCGGCUAACUACGUGCCAGCAGCCGCGGUGAUACGUAGGGUGCGAGCGUUGUCCGGAUUUAUUGGGCGUAAAGGGCUCGUAGGUGGUUGAUCGCGUCGGAAGUGUAAUCUUGGGGCUUAACCCUGAGCGUGCUUUCGAUACGGGUUGACUUGAGGAAGGUAGGGGAGAAUGGAAUUCCUGGUGGAGCGGUGGAAUGCGCAGAUAUCAGGAGGAACACCAGUGGCGAAGGCGGUUCUCUGGGCCUUUCCUGACGCUGAGGAGCGAAAGCGUGGGGAGCGAACAGGCUUAGAUACCCUGGUAGUCCACGCUGUAAACGGUGGGUACUAGGUGUGGGGUCCAUUCCACGGGUUCCGUGCCGUAGCUAACGCUUUAAGUACCCCGCCUGGGGAGUACGGCCGCAAGGCUAAAACUCAAAGGAAUUGACGGGGCCCCGCACAAGCGGCGGAGCAUGCGGAUUAAUUCGAUGCAACGCGUAGAACCUUACCUGGGUUUGACAUGGAUCGGGAGCGCUCAGAGAUGGGUGUGCCUCUUUUGGGGUCGGUUCACAGGUGGUGCAUGGCUGUCGUCAGCUCGUGUCGUGAGAUGUUGGGUUAAGUCCCGCAACGAGCGCAACCCUUGUUCACUGUUGCCAGCACGUUAUGGUGGGGACUCAGUGGAGACCGCCGGGGUCAACUCGGAGGAAGGUGGGGAUGACGUCAAGUCAUCAUGCCCCUUAUGUCCAGGGCUUCACGCAUGCUACAAUGGCUGGUACAGAGAGUGGCGAGCCUGUGAGGGUGAGCGAAUCUCGGAAAGCCGGUCUCAGUUCGGAUUGGGGUCUGCAACUCGACCUCAUGAAGUCGGAGUCGCUAGUAAUCGCAGAUCAGCAACGCUGCGGUGAAUACGUUCCCGGG
rnacentral:rRNA from 1 species